AGUGAACGCUGGCGGUAGGCCUAACACAUGCAAGUCGAACGGCAGCAUAGUAAGAGCUUGCUCUUACGGGUGGCGAGUGGCGGACGGGUGAGGAAUACAUCGGAAUCUACUUUUUCGUGGGGGAUAACGUAGGUAAACUUACGCUAAUACCGCAUACGACCUACGGGUGAAAGCAGUGGAUCUUCGGACCUUGCGCGAUUGAAUGAGCCGAUGUGGGAUUAGAUAGUUGGCGGGGUAAAGGCCCACCAAGGCGACGAUCCGUAGCUGGUCUGAGAGGACGAUCGGCCACACUGGAACUGAGACACGGUCCAGACUCCUAAGGGAGGGCGCAGUGGGGAAUAUUGGACAAUGGGCGCAAGCCUGAUACAGCCAUACCGCGUGGGUGAAGAAGGCCUUCGGGUUGUAAAGCCCUUUUGUUGGGAAAGAAAAGCAGCAGGUUAAUACCCCGCUGUUCUGACGGUACCCAAUAAAUAAGCACCGGCUAACUUCGUG
rnacentral:rRNA from 1 species